rnacentral:rRNA from 1 species
GGGUUGUGAGGUUAAGCGACUAAGCGUACACGGUGGAUGCCCUGGCAGUCAGAGGCGAUGAAGGGCGUGCUAAUCUGCGAUAAGCGCCGGUAAGGUGAUAUGAACCGUUAUAACCGGCGAUACCCGAAUGGGGAAACCCAGUGUGAUUCGUCACACUAUCAUUAACUGAAUCCAUAGGUUAAUGAGGCGAACCGGGGGAACUGAAACAUCUAAGUACCCCGAGGAAAAGAAAUCAACCGAGAUUCCCCCAGUAGCGGCGAGCGAACGGGGAGGAGCCCAGAGCCUGAAUCAGCAUGUGUGUUAGUGGAAGCGUCUGGAAAGGCGCGCGAUACAGGGUGACAGCCCCGUACACAAAAGCGCAUGUGCUGUGAGCUCGAUGAGUAGGGCGGGACACGUGGUAUCCUGUCUGAAUAUGGGGGGACCAUCCUCCAAGGCUAAAUACUCCUGACUGACCGAUAGUGAACCAGUACCGUGAGGGAAAGGCGAAAAGAACCCCGGCGAGGGGAGUGAAAAAGAACCUGAAACCGUGUACGUACAAGCAGUGGGAGCACCCUUUUGGGUGUGACUGCGUACCUUUUGUAUAAUGGGUCAGCGACUUAUAUUCUGUAGCAAGGUUAACCGAAUAGGGGAGCCGUAGGGAAACCGAGUCUUAACCGGGCGUUAAGUUGCAGGGUAUAGACCCGAAACCCGGUGAUCUAGCCAUGGGCAGGUUGAAGGUUGGGUAACACUAACUGGAGGACCGAACCGACUAAUGUUGAAAAAUUAGCGGAUGACCUGUGGCUGGGGGUGAAAGGCCAAUCAAACCGGGAGAUAGCUGGUUCUCCCGAAAGCUAUUUAGGUAGCGCCUCGUGAAUUCAUCUCCGGGGGUAGAGCACUGUUUCGGCUAGGGGGCCAUCCCGGCUUACCAACCCGAUGCAAACUGCGAAUACCGGAGAAUGUUAUCACGGGAGACACACGGCGGGUGCUAACGUCCGUCGUGAAGAGGGAAACAACCCAGACCGCCAGCUAAGGUCCCAAAGUCAUGGUUAAGUGNNNANNGANNNGGGANGGCNNANNNNNCCAGNNNGUUGGCNNNNNNGNANNCANCNNNNANNGNNAGCGUAANNNCNCACNNGUCGAGUNGNNNNGNGNGNAACGAUGUNNNNNGGCNNANNCANNCACNGANGNUGGCUUNGNAGCGANCGNAUCANUUAAAGNNAGNNNANNNGNUNACUGNUNGAGUCGGCCNGCGNNGANGANGUNANNGNGCUANACNANGCANCGANNCNGNNNNAGCGANACGUUCGAUUGGNNNGGGCGAGCGUUCUGUAAGCCUGNGAAGGUGGCCUGUGAGGGUUGCUGGAGGUAUCAGAAGUGCGAAUGCUGACAUAAGUAACGAUAAAGCGGGUGAAAAGCCCGCUCGCCGGAAGACCAAGGGUUCCUGUCCAACGUUAAUCGGGGCAGGGUGAGUCGACCCCUAAGGCGAGGCCGAAAGGCGUAGUCGAUGGGAAACGGGUUAAUAUUCCCGUACUUGGUGUUACUGCGAAGGGGGGACGGAGAAGGCUAUGUUGGCCGGGCGACGGUUGUCCCGGUUUAAGCGUGUAGGUGUGGUGUUCCAGGUAAAUCCGGUUCACUUUAACACUGAGGCGUGAUGACGAGGCACUACGGUGCUGAAGCAACAAAUGCCCUGCUUCCAGGAAAAGCCUCUAAGCAUCAGGUAACAUCAAAUCGUACCCCAAACCGACACAGGUGGUCAGGUAGAGAAUACCAAGGCGCUUGAGAGAACUCGGGUGAAGGAACUAGGCAAAAUGGUGCCGUAACUUCGGGAGAAGGCACGCUGACACGUAGGUGAAGUGAUUUACUCAUGGAGCUGAAGUCAGUCGAAGAUACCAGCUGGCUGCAACUGUUUAUUAAAAACACAGCACUGUGCAAACACGAAAGUGGACGUAUACGGUGUGACGCCUGCCCGGUGCCGGAAGGUUAAUUGAUGGGGUCAGCGCAAGCGAAGCUCCUGAUCGAAGCCCCGGUAAACGGCGGCCGUAACUAUAACGGUCCUAAGGUAGCGAAAUUCCUUGUCGGGUAAGUUCCGACCUGCACGAAUGGCGUAAUGAUGGCCAGGCUGUCUCCACCCGAGACUCAGUGAAAUUGAACUCGCUGUGAAGAUGCAGUGUACCCGCGGCAAGACGGAAAGACCCCGUGAACCUUUACUAUAGCUUGACACUGAACAUUGAGCCUUGAUGUGUAGGAUAGGUGGGAGGCUUUGAAGCGUGGACGCCAGUCUGCGUGGAGCCGACCUUGAAAUACCACCCUUUAAUGUUUGAUGUUCUAACGUGGACCCGUAAUCCGGGUUGCGGACAGUGUCUGGUGGGUAGUUUGACUGGGGCGGUCUCCUCCUAAAGAGUAACGGAGGAGCACGAAGGUUGGCUAAUCCUGGUCGGACAUCAGGAGGUUAGUGCAAUGGCAUAAGCCAGCUUGACUGCGAGCGUGACGGCGCGAGCAGGUGCGAAAGCAGGUCAUAGUGAUCCGGUGGUUCUGAAUGGAAGGGCCAUCGCUCAACGGAUAAAAGGUACUCCGGGGAUAACAGGCUGAUACCGCCCAAGAGUUCAUAUCGACGGCGGUGUUUGGCACCUCGAUGUCGGCUCAUCACAUCCUGGGGCUGAAGUAGGUCCCAAGGGUAUGGCUGUUCGCCAUUUAAAGUGGUACGCGAGCUGGGUUUAGAACGUCGUGAGACAGUUCGGUCCCUAUCUGCCGUGGGCGCUGGAGAACUGAGGGGGGCUGCUCCUAGUACGAGAGGACCGGAGUGGACGCAUCACUGGUGUUCGGGUUGUCAUGCCAAUGGCACUGCCCGGUAGCUAAAUGCGGAAGAGAUAAGUGCUGAAAGCAUCUAAGCACGAAACUUGCCCCGAGAUGAGUUCUCCCUGAGACUUUAGGUCUCCUGAAGGAACGUUGAAGACGACGACGUUGAUAGGCCGGGUGUGUAAGCGCAGCGAUGCGUUGAGCUAACCGGUACUAAUGAACCGUGAGGCUUAACCUUACAACGCCGAAG